UUUUCUGAUGUGUGUGUUUACUAAGUGUCAAUAAAAACUCUGUUCUUAUCAGCUUAAUAUCUGAUACGGAUCAUAUUUGAAUCCAAGAUAAUAAACUUAUAAUUGUGAUGCGGCGAAGUGCUUCAACCUUGCUUCGCCUUCGCCACGGCUUGGCCCGGUAUUGCACUACCUCCGGGAUUGCCCCACUCACC